AGAGUUUGAUCCUGGCUCAGGAUGAACGCUGGCGGCGUGCUUAACACAUGCAAGUCGAGCGGGAAAUUUCUGACUGAUUCCUUUCGGGAUGAAAUCGGAAAUGGAGAGCGGCGGAUGGGUGAGUAACGCGUGGGAAACCUGCCCUGUACAGGGGGAUAGCCUCGGGAAACCGGGAUUAAUACCCCAUAAUGUUUCUUCAUCGCAUGAUUUAGAAAUCAAAACUCCGGUGGUACAGGAUGGUCCCGCGUCCCAUUAGCUAGUUGGUGAGGUAACAGCUCACCAAGGCGACGAUGGGUAGCCGGCCUGAGAGGGUGAACGGCCACACUGGAACUGAGACACGGUCCAGACUCCUACGGGAGGCAGCAGUGGGGGAUAUUGCACAAUGGAGGAAACUCUGAUGCAGCGACGCCGCGUGAGCGAAGAAGGUCUUCGGAUCGUAAAGCUCUGUCCUAAGGAAAGAUAGUGACGGUACCUUAGGAGGAAGCCCCGGCUAACUACGUGCCAGCAGCCGCGGUAAUACGUAGGGGGCGAGCGUUAUCCGGAAUUACUGGGCGUAAAGGGUUCGCAGGCGGCCUUGUAAGUCAGAUGUGAAAGCCCGCAGCUUAACUGCGGAAUUGCAUUUGAAACUGGAGGGCUUGAGUGUCGGAGAGGGUAGUGGAAUUCCCAGUGUAGCGGUGAAAUGCGUAGAUAUUGGGAGGAACACCAGUGGCGAAGGCGACUGCCUGGACGAUAACUGACGCUGAGGCACGAAAGCUAGGGGAGCAAACAGGAUUAGAUACCCUGGUAGUCCUAGCCGUAAACGAUGGGUACUAGGUGUAGGUGGUUUCGAUACCAUCUGUGCCGUAGUUAACGCAUUAAGUACCCCGCCUGGGGAGUACGUGCGCAAGCAUGAAACUCAAAUGAAUUGACGG
rnacentral:rRNA from 1 species